rnacentral:rRNA from 1 species
GGGAGUGAGAAUGUUGGCAUGAGUAGCGAGAUGUGGGUGAGAAUCCCACAGGCCGUAAACCCAAGGUUUCCAGGGGAAGGUUCGUCCGCCCUGGGGUAGUCGGGACCUAAGCUGAGGCCGAAAGGCGUAGGUGAUGGACAACAGGUUGAUAUUCCUGUACUACCGAUAACCGUUUGAGAGAUGGGAUGACACAGUAGGAUAAGCUAAGCACACUGUUGGUUAU